AAGUCGUAACAAGGUUUCCGUAGGUGAACCUGCGGAAGGAUCAUUAAUGAAUAAACGAAGGGUUGUCGCUGGCUCUUGGGAGCAUGUGCACGCCUUUCAAAUUCAUCUUAACCACCUGUGCACUUUUAGUAGGCUUAUGAUAGCUCUCAGUCUUCGGACUGGAUAGAGGACUUAUGCGUCUUCAAUAUCAUGGUCUACGUUUCAUCUAUAUACUAUACUGUCCAGAAUGUCUGUUAUUAGGUCUUGCACCUAUAAACUUUAUACAACUUUCAACAACGGAUCUCUUGGCUCUC
rnacentral:misc_RNA from 1 species